UACGAAGGGAGCUAGCGUUGUUCGGAAUCACUGGGCGUAAAGCGCACGUAGGCGGACGUGUCAGUCAGGGGUGAAAUCCCGGAGCUCAACUUCGGAACUGCCUUUGAUACAGCACGUCUUGAGUCCGGAAGAGGUGGGUGGAAUUCCUAGUGUAGAGGUGAAAUUCGUAGAUAUUAGGAAGAACACCGGUGGCGAAGGCGGUCUGCUGGGCAGUUGCUGACACUGAGGCGCGACAGCGUGGGGAGCAAACAGG
rnacentral:rRNA from 1 species